rnacentral:rRNA from 1 species
ACGUGGGUAACCUGCCUGUAAGACUGGGAUAACUCCGGGAAACCGGGGCUAAUACCGGAUGCUUGUUUGAACCGCAUGGUUCAAACAUAAAAGGUGGCUUCGGCUACCACUUACAGAUGGACCCGCGGCGCAUUAGCUAGUUGGUGAGGUAAUGGCUCACCAAGGCGACGAUGCGUAGCCGACCUGAGAGGGUGAUCGGCCACACUGGGACUGAGACACGGCCCAGACUCCUACGGGAGGCAGCAGUAGGGAAUCUUCCGCAAUGGACGAAAGUCUGACGGAGCAACGCCGCGUGAGUGAUGAAGGUUUUCGGAUCGUAAAGCUCUGUUGUUAGGGAAGAACAAGUACCGUUCGAAUAGGGCGGUACCUUGACGGUACCUAACCAGAAAGCCACGGCUAACUACGUGCCAGCAGCCGCGGUAAUACGUAGGUGGCAAGCGUUGUCCGGAAUUAUUGGGCGUAAAGGGCUCGCAGGCGGUUUCUUAAGUCUGAUGUGAAAGCCCCCGGCUCAACCGGGGAGGGUCAUUGGAAACUGGGGAACUUGAGUGCAGAAGAGGAGAGUGGAAUUCCACGUGUAGCGGUGAAAUGCGUAGAGAUGUGGAGGAACACCAGUGGCGAAGGCGACUCUCUGGUCUGUAACUGACGCUGAGGAGCGAAAGCGUGGGGAGCGAACAGGAUUAGAUACCCUGGUAGUCCACGCCGUAAACGAUGAGUGCUAAGUGUUAGGGGGUUUCCGCCCCUUAGUGCUGCAGCUAACGCAUUAAGCACUCCGCCUGGGGAGUACGGUCGCAAAGACUGAAACUCAAGGGAAUUGACG